rnacentral:piRNA from 1 species
UGAAAACUAAAGUUCAGCUCAACCAAACAA